rnacentral:rRNA from 1 species
UACGGAGGGGGCUAGCGUUGUUCGGAAUUACUGGGCGUAAAGCGCACGUAGGCGGCUUUGUAAGUUAGAGGUGAAAGCCCAGGGCUCAACCCUGGAAUUGCCUUUGAGACUGCAUCGCUUGAACAUCGGAGAGGUAAGUGGAAUUCCGAGUGUAGAGGUGAAAUUCGUAGAUAUUCGGAAGAACUCCAGUGGCGAAGGCGACUUACUGGACGAUUGUUGACGCUGAGGUGCGAAAGCGUGGGGAGCAAACAGG